rnacentral:rRNA from 1 species
CCCUUAGAUGUUCUGGGCCGCACGCGCGCUACACUGAUGCAUUCAACGAGCCUAUCCUUGACCGACAGGUCCGGGUAAUCUUUGAAUCUGCAUCGUGACGGGGAUAGAUUAUUGCAAUUAUUAAUCUUCAACGAGGAAUGCCUAGUAGGCGCAAGUCAUCAGCUUGCGUCGAUUACGUCCCUGCCCUUUGUACACACCGCCCGUCGCUCCUACCGAUUGGGUGUGCUGGUGAAAUGUUCGGAUCGGCCGUUUGUCGCGGUUUCCGCGUCAUGUGGCCGAGAAGUUCAUUAAACCCUCCCACCUAGAGGAAGGAGAAGUCGUAACA